CCUACGGGAGGCAGCAGUAGGGAAUAUUGCACAAUGGGGGAAACCCUGAACCAGCAACGCCGCGUGAGUGAAGAAGGAUUUCGGAAUGUAAAGUUCUAUCAUCAGAGAAGAUUAUGACGGUAUCUGACGAAUAAGCCCCGGCUAACUACGUGACAGCAGCCGCGGUAAUACGGAGGGGGCAAGCGUUAUACGGAUUUACUGGGAGUAAAGGGAGCGUAGGCGGGGGAAUAAGUCAUAUGUGAAAUGUCGUAGCUAAACUACAGGACUGCAUUGGAAACUGUUGCACUGGAGUAUGGGAGAGGUAAGCGGAAUUCUUGGUGUAGCGGUGAAAUGCGUAGAUAUUAGGAGGAACACUCGUGGCGGAGGCGGCCUACUGGAACAUAACUGACGUUGAUGCUCGAAAGCGUGGGGAGCAAACAGGAUUAGAUACCCGGGUAGUC
rnacentral:rRNA from 1 species